AGAUGCUCAUUGGGCGUAAAGCGUGCGCAGGCGGUUUUGUAAGACAGAGGUGAAAUCCCCGGGCUCAACCUGGGAACUGCCUUUGUGACUGCAAGGCUGGAGUGCGGCAGAGGGGGAUGGAAUUCCGCGUGUAGCAGUGAAAUGCGUAGAUAUGCGGAGGAACACCGAUGGCGAAGGCAAUCCCCUGGGCCUGCACUGACGCUCAUGCACGAAAGCGUGGGGAGCAAACA
rnacentral:rRNA from 1 species